rnacentral:rRNA from 1 species
UACGAAGGGGGCUAGCGUUGCUCGGAAUCACUGGGCGUAAAGGGUGCGUAGGCGGGUUUUUAAGUCAGGGGUGAAAUCCUGGAGCUCAACUCCAGAACUGCCUUUGAUACUGAAGAUCUUGAGUCCGGGAGAGGUGAGUGGAACUGCGAGUGUAGAGGUGAAAUUCGUAGAUAUUCGCAAGAACACCAGUGGCGAAGGCGGCUCACUGGCCCGGUACUGACGCUGAGGCACGAAAGCGUGGGGGAGCGAACAGG